rnacentral:lncRNA from 1 species
GGACUGCUCUCAUCCUGCUAAGUGACCAACACCCUCGGCAGGGAGACCCCGGGUGAUCCGCUCUGCUCCAAAGGGAUGGCAGGCUGGCUGGGGUCGGGAGGCUUCCGAGUGAGCAGUCUGCCUCCUGACCGACUGGAACUCCUCGCGCAGUGUGUGUCUUCGCCCAGUCCUGCCAUCCCCUCAACACUCGCCUCCAGAUCCGGGGAGCACUGGAAAGAGAAGCACUAUUCAACAAUAACGAGCAAAAUGACGUGGAUGCUAUGAACUUAACAAUUCCAUUUGGGAAGAUCUGUCACCUAACAAAGCAAAGCUGCCUCACUGCCACAUGCAGAGCAGAGUGAGAAGAAUCAUGCGUGCUGCCUCCCACGGCCAAGGAAAGCUGCGCCCGUGGCGAGGGGAGAGGAGGGCCGGCAUCCGAGGGGCAGAGGACCAGACGACAACUUCAUUCUCUCCCCAAAAAAGAGGGGACUGGACUCCCCUGGGGACCUGGCUCAGGCUCCCCACACACUGCCGCGACGGGGCCCUUAAGCAUCUCUCAGUCCCGGGACCAGAAGUCCUAGAUGGAUGUGGCAGCAGAUACUACAAACCUUGCCUCGGUCUGCAGUGCAAACUCCAAAACGUGGCAAAGGGUGGAGCAAAGGUAAGUAAGUGCCCUCUGCAUUUCAGCAGACAGGGCAGUGGUCUCCACUCGCGCUCACCCCAAUAGCACGGGGGCGCGCGGUUUCCCAGCAGCCUCACUGACCUACGGAUUUUCGCUAAUAAAUCCAAUAUUAUGAGGAGGAUACAGAAAAAUGAUGUCUCGGUGUACUGACAAUUUGCACGCUCUCAGGAGUGAAGCUGAACAUCUUUCCCUUGCUCGAGGGCACGUGUCCCGGAGUGAUCUAUGACUGGCCCGUUCUUCUAUUAUUAGUUUUCUCACUUCCUACAAGUUCUUUAUGUAUCAGAAAAAUCAGCCUCCUGUCAUAGCAGCUCCAGAUCCUUUUCUGAGUCUGUCUAUGCUCAUGGCUUUUUAAAGUCUUUUUAGUUCAAGGGGCACCUGGGGGCUCAGUCGGUUAAGCAUCCAGCUCUUGAUUUAGGCUCAGGCCAUGAUCUCAGGAUUGGGGGAUCGAGCCCUGCUUGGGUUCUGCACUGGGUGUGGGGCCUGCUUGGGAUGCUCUCCCUCCUUCUCCUUCUGCCCCACCCACCUCACUGUGUGUGCACGUGUGUUCUUUCUUUAAAAUAAUAAAUAAUAAUGUCUUUUUAGUUCAUGAUAUUUUGAUUUUUAUGUGAUCUUUUUUUUAAAUGGAAUUUGUUUUUUUAGAUUUUUUUUUUUUAUUUGACAGAGAGAGCACAAGCAGGGGGAAUGGCAGACGGAGGAAGAGGGAGAAGCAGACUCCCCACUGAGCAGAGAGCCCGAUGCGGCGCUUGAUCCCAGGACCCUGAGACCAUGACCUGCGCCAAAGGCAGACACUUCACUGACUGAGCCACCCAGUGCCCCAUUUUUAUGUGGUUUUAACUUACUUUUAUGGUUAAUGGAUUACUGAGUCCUAGGGGAAAAGACUCUGUUUACCCCACUGGUGAGUUAUCACCCUUUAUAUUAAAUUUUUGUGCACCGGGGCAGCUCAGUUCAUGAUUCUGGGGUCCUGGGAUCGAGCCCCAUGUCAGGCUCCCUACUCCGCAGGGAGUCUGCUUCUCCCUCUACCUCUGCUGCUCCCUUUGCUUGUGUUUCUGCACCCUCUCUCUGUCAAUAAAUAAAAUCUUUAAAAACAAAUUCAUUCACUCCUUCAUUCAUUCUCAUGCACCUCUGGGUUUAAAGAACAGAGCUGUAUAGAGUGGGCAUAGGGCUGGCACCUGCCAGUCCUCUCUCCUACUGCACUGAUUCUAUUUGUAUUUGUCCACUGAGGCUCCCUAAGAAGCACCAGGGAGGAAUCCUAAUUUUGAGGCCUAUCUUGAUGAAAGCUGCUCUUUGCAUGAAAUGACCACUCACGUCAGUGUCAGGACCGGAGUGAUCCUGUGCCGCUCUCUCUCCCUCCCAGCCCCUUGGCGGACGAUUAAGAACCACAGCCGUUUACACAAAUUGGCCCCGGGUUCUCAAGCAUCUGAACGCCUCCUAUGCAUGGGGGACAGGACGCCGACAGGUGGGACCCUGCCCCUGUGGUGUUCACAGGCUAGAGGCUGUGCCUGAGCACCGGAGCUGCGGAAUGGGAAGCAGCCUACCGCUGCUAGACGCUGAGCUCUGACAGCCUGCUUUCACCGGGUUCUGGAAGUCCCAUCACCAUCUGACAUGAAAGGGGGCGGUUACUGAGCAGCUUCCCCUUCCUGCUCCAGAACUACCAGAAUAUGAACAUUAGGGAGACAUCGACACAUGGAGGAUACAGUCUUCCUUUUAAGGCCCAGGCUUGCCUGACUGGGGAUAAACAUCACUGGAAACGAGAUGUGGCUUCGCCCGGGCCUGUUUACCCCACGCAGGCUGCCCACCCGCCAGAACAGGUUUUUGGUUUGGUUUAGCUCGUAUUUCAUGUGCCCGUCUGCAGAGACAGCAGAGAUCUUCUCAAUUUCCAAGCCCCAGUGACGUAGUCACCUCAUCGCUCUGGUGUGGAAGCCACUACUGCACUUCAACGGCCUCCAUUUGCAAAGCAUUAACAUCACCUCUUGCAAGCAGCAUCAGCUGAAGAGCUCACGGAUCCACGACGCAGAGCACUCCCUGUGCUGCACGUCGUCACUCAACCAUUGCCUCACGUUGACAGAGCUGACAAAUCACAGAUUUCUAAAGCUGUAACAA